GCCCUGGCAGUCAGAGGCGAUGAAGGACGUGCUAAUCUGCGAUAAGCGUCGGUAAGGUGAUAUGAACCGUUAUAACCGGCGAUUUCCGAAUGGGGAAACCCAGUGUGAUUCGUCACACUAUCAUUAACUGAAUCCAUAGGUUAAUGAGGCGAACCGGGGGAACUGAAACAUCUAAGUACCCCGAGGAAAAGAAAUCAACCGAGAUUCCCCCAGUAGCGGCGAGCGAACGGGGAGGAGCCCAGAGCCUGAAUCAGUGUGUGUGUUAGUGGAAGCGUCUGGAAAGGCGCGCGAUACAGGGUGACAGCCCCGUACACAAAAAUGCACAUGCUGUGAGCUCGAUGAGUAGGGCGGGACACGUGGUAUCCUGUCUGAAUAUGGGGGGACCAUCCUCCAAGGCUAAAUACUCCUGACUGACCGAUAGUGAACCAGUACCGUGAGGGAAAGGCGAAAAGAACCCCGGCGAGGGGAGUGAAAAAGAACCUGAAACCGUGUACGUACAAGCAGUGGGAGCACAGAGCAAUCUGUGUGACUGCGUACCUUUUGUAUAAUGGGUCAGCGACUUAUAUUCUGUAGCAAGGUUAACCGAAUAGGGGAGCCGAAGGGAAACCGAGUCUUAACUGGGCGUUAAGUUGCAGGGUAUAGACCCGAAACCCGGUGAUCUAGCCAUGGGCAGGUUGAAGGUUGGGUAACACUAACUGGAGGACCGAACCGACUAAUGUUGAAAAAUUAGCGGAUGACUUGUGGCUGGGGGUGAAAGGCCAAUCAAACCGGGAGAUAGCUGGUUCUCCCCGAAAGCUAUUUAGGUAGCGCCUCGUGAAUUCAUCUCCGGGGGUAGAGCACUGUUUCGGCAAGGGGGUCAUCCCGACUUACCAACCCGAUGCAAACUGCGAAUACCGGAGAAUGUUAUCACGGGAGACACACGGCGGGUGCUAACGUCCGUCGUGAAGAGGGAAACAACCCAGACCGCCAGCUAAGGUCCCAAAGUCAUGGUUAAGUGGGAAACGAUGUGGGAAGGCCCAGACAGCCAGGAUGUUGGCUUAGAAGCAGCCAUCAUUUAAAGAAAGCGUAAUAGCUCACUGGUCGAGUCGGCCUGCGCGGAAGAUGUAACGGGGCUAAACCAUGCACCGAAGCUGCGGCAGCGACGCUUAUGCGUUGUUGGGUAGGGGAGCGUUCUGUAAGCCUGCGAAGGUGUGCUGUGAGGCAUGCUGGAGGUAUCAGAAGUGCGAAUGCUGACAUAAGUAACGAUAAAGCGGGUGAAAAGCCCGCUCGCCGGAAGACCAAGGGUUCCUGUCCAACGUUAAUCGGGGCAGGGUGAGUCGACCCCUAAGGCGAGGCCGAAAGGCGUAGUCGAUGGGAAACAGGUUAAUAUUCCUGUACUUGGUGUUACUGCGAAGGGGGGACGGAGAAGGCUAUGUUGGCCGGGCGACGGUUGUCCCGGUUUAAGCGUGUAGGCUGGUUUUCCAGGCAAAUCCGGAAAAUCAAGGCUGAGGCGUGAUGACGAGGCACUACGGUGCUGAAGCAACAAAUGCCCUGCUUCCAGGAAAAGCCUCUAAGCAUCAGGUAACAUCAAAUCGUACCCCAAACCGACACAGGUGGUCAGGUAGAGAAUACCAAGGCGCUUGAGAGAACUCGGGUGAAGGAACUAGGCAAAAUGGUGCCGUAACUUCGGGAGAAGGCACGCUGAUAUGUAGGUGAAGCGACUUGCUCGUGGAGCUGAAAUCAGUCGAAGAUACCAGCUGGCUGCAACUGUUUAUUAAAAACACAGCACUGUGCAAACACGAAAGUGGACGUAUACGGUGUGACGCCUGCCCGGUGCCGGAAGGUUAAUUGAUGGGGUCAGCGCAAGCGAAGCUCUUGAUCGAAGCCCCGGUAAACGGCGGCCGUAACUAUAACGGUCCUAAGGUAGCGAAAUUCCUUGUCGGGUAAGUUCCGACCUGCACGAAUGGCGUAAUGAUGGCCAGGCUGUCUCCACCCGAGACUCAGUGAAAUUGAACUCGCUGUGAAGAUGCAGUGUACCCGCGGCAAGACGGAAAGACCCCGUGAACCUUUACUAUAGCUUGACACUGAACAUUGAGCCUUGAUGUGUAGGAUAGGUGGGAGGCUUUGAAGUGUGGACGCCAGUCUGCAUGGAGCCGACCUUGAAAUACCACCCUUUAAUGUUUGAUGUUCUAACGUGGACCCGUAAUCCGGGUUGCGGACAGUGUCUGGUGGGUAGUUUGACUGGGGCGGUCUCCUCCUAAAGAGUAACGGAGGAGCACGAAGGUUGGCUAAUCCUGGUCGGACAUCAGGAGGUUAGUGCAAUGGCAUAAGCCAGCUUGACUGCGAGCGUGACGGCGCGAGCAGGUGCGAAAGCAGGUCAUAGUGAUCCGGUGGUUCUGAAUGGAAGGGCCAUCGCUCAACGGAUAAAAGGUACUCCGGGGAUAACAGGCUGAUACCGCCCAAGAGUUCAUAUCGACGGCGGUGUUUGGCACCUCGAUGUCGGCUCAUCACAUCCUGGGGCUGAAGUAGGUCCCAAGGGUAUGGCUGUUCGCCAUUUAAAGUGGUACGCGAGCUGGGUUUAGAACGUCGUGAGACAGUUCGGUCCCUAUCUGCCGUGGGCGCUGGAGAACUGAGGGGGGCUGCUCCUAGUACGAGAGGACCGGAGUGGACGCAUCACUGGUGUUCGGGUUGUCAUGCCAAUGGCACUGCCCGGUAGCUAAAUGCGGAAGAGAUAAGUGCUGAAAGCAUCUAAGCACGAAACUUGCCCCGAGAUGAGUUCUCCCUGACUCCUUGAGAGUCCUGAAGGAACGUUGAAGACGACGACGUUGAUAGGCCGGGUGUGUAAGCGCAGCGAUGCGUUGAGCUAACCGGUACUAAUGAACCGUGAGGCUUAACCUUACAACGCCGAAGGUGUUU
rnacentral:rRNA from 1 species